rnacentral:misc_RNA from 1 species
GAGAAGCCAAGCUUAAGGUUCUUAAAUCACUGAAACUUUGUACAAUCAGCAACAAAAUGGAAGUCAAGUUGGUUUGAUGGAUGCAGUUAAAGGAAAGAUCAUUAAGUAAAAGAAAUUACUGAAAGUACUAUUACUCCAAGCACUGAGUAGAAGGGAAAGUACUAAACUGCUUAACAGUACUUGCUGAUGCAUGUUCAUACAGAUGUCAUUAAUAAGGGACACACAUUUUCUGCUUUGUUUAAAGCUAAAUGUGACUGAUAGCUCAAAAAUGGACGAUUAGGUGGCAUUUGUCUCCAGUGCAAAAUUUAGUUUUGAGCGACUUUCAUUCCAUUAAACAUGGAGAACUCAUUUCUGAUUUGCAAUUAUUGAACCUAGAGGAGUUGUGAUUCAGAAUAUAUCCAGCAUAAGGAUUAUCCUUGAAGAUAUAUGUGUCAACCAGCCAAUAAUUUUUCCCUUUUCUUUUUUUAUAAAGCUUGGUAAAAUAUGUUUUCGGUCAUGUGUUCAACUUAGAAGUCAUUGUAAUGAAAAAUUUUAUGAAAGAUUUCAGAUCGUAAAAGUGUAUUAUUUUUUAUAAUACCAGAUAUACAUGUAUAUGUAUAUUGCUGUUCAAUUUGCACUGUGUAUGUAUAUUGUAGCUCUUUUUAAAACUGUUUAAAAAUCGAUCAACAGCAAGGAUUUACAUCAAUUUUUGUAUUUCAAGUUGCGCCAAGAGGGAUUUGAUUUACAUGAAUUGUUGUUUACAUGAGAUACAUGUCAUGUACUGUUAUAUGUUAUUAUUGAUUAGACAUCAGACUCUUACUGUUACAGCAUAUGUUUGGGAAAACAUUUACAGCAUAUGUUUGGGAAAUGUUUUCCCUACUUAAUACAAAAUAGUUUUUC